UACAGAGGUCUCAAGCGUUGUUCGGAUUCAUUGGGCGUAAAGGGUGCGUAGGUGGCGCUGUAAGUCGGGUGUGAAAUUUCGGAGCUUAACUCCGAAACUGCAUUCGAUACUGCGGCGCUUGAGGACUGGAGAGGAGACUGGAAUUCAUGGUGUAGCAGUGAAAUGCGUAGAGAUCAUGAGGAAGACCAGUGGCGAAGGCGGGUCUCUGGACAGUUCCUGACACUGAGGCACGAAGGCCAGGGGAGCAAACGGG
rnacentral:rRNA from 1 species